CAGGCUUUGGAGAACUGUGCUUCCCUUCAGACAGCUCCUCUGUCUGCCUUUUUUGACUAACUAAAAAGUACUGCCACCUCUGACUCGGAUUCUAAAGUGGAUUUUCCCUACUCAUGCUUCCUAGAUUUGGUGAGGAUUUGGUUGAGUCAUGGGACAUUUGAGCUUGUCAAGAGAGGAUUGCUAUGUCAGUGGAGAAGUGGAGGGGCUGAAAAUGGACUCAGCUCUUGGUCCCUGUAGAGACUGUAAGACUCUGUGCACACCGUGACCAUCCAGGGCUUCUUCUGAGCCCUGUGCUGUUCAGAAUGAUUGCACAACCUACCACGCUUCGUUACUGCAAAGGGAACACCGGCUGGGAGUUGGCCAAGGCCCUGCUAAGACAAGGCCACUUGCACAGGAUUCUAAAUUCCUAAAAAAAAGUCCUUUCUUAUUGACUGAAAAACUGGUUCUGUUCUUCAUAUUUCUUACUUUCUGGAGCUGAAUUAUUAACAGGCAAAAAUUGGGUGGGGCUUCAUUGAUAUUCUCUCUAGCUUUUCCAAACCAAGAAUCAGAAAGUGUGCCUCGGUGAAUUGCCUUUUGUUAGCAGCGUGGAGAUGCAGG
rnacentral:lncRNA from 13 species